ensembl:lncRNA
GUUUUUGGAGUUGGAAAACAAAGGUUGCUAACUAAUGACAUGAGAAUCAAUCGGGAGCGCCCACUCCCCAGCAGAGAGUAGUUCAGCACCUGCUGGAGGUUAAAGCCUUUUUUAUGGAGUUCUGAGUACUGCUCCGUUGGCUAUUUUAAGAUAUUUCAACCCCAUCUCUGCUGUAUUGGCUCAUUGCACUCAUUAUUUUGAUUCUAAUCAAGAAAAACAACUCUUCUGCUUUGUGGUUGCUAGUCCAAGAGUUAAUGUUACACAUCUAAAAGCAUUAGCAUCUUGUGUAUUAUAAUGCAACAUUGUAAAUCUCUAACAUAGUGGCGAUAACAGCAUCUUCAACAUGUUUGGUGCUCCAGUUCGUUAAUAACAUUUUUCUUGUUCACACAGGUCAUUAUUUUAUUUUUUAUUUUUUUGUUUAUUAUCCUCCCUUAUUUCUAUUUUCUGCCCUACUUUCUCUUCACCCACUCUCACCCUUAACUUUUCCCUUUCUCUCUCUUUCCUGUUUUUCCUCCAGGCCACAGUCACCCUAUGGACAUGCCUGGCCGAGGGCUGUACGACGAGAGGGACAGUGGCAUCGCCAGGUCUGGUACGUUAAUGAGACUAGGCACCAAAGCCUGGAUUGACCUACACUCACACCACUUUCAGUCCCACAGCUGAGUUUUGAAUUACGCCUACAUUUAAUCUGAUCAAGACUAAAGAGGUCAAGGAACAGAGAACAUUGAGAGUAUGUCAGGAAGAUACUGGGUCAUUACACUCUACAUAAAACCACACAGAAAGAAAUAAAAGCAUGGUGGAAGAUGGUGUUGAGGUGAAUACAUAGCUUCUGAAGUCUGGAAAAGUUUGUCCUGUGGAAACUGACCCCUGUCUCCCAGGCUCUCCUUUAGCCCCACCCCUUCAAACAUCACCACGUCCUAUUGGAAUGACUGGUACGAGGAGAAUUGUACAUUCAGCACGAGACCCAUGUUUAAGCAGAGAGUUAAAUAUAUCGUCGCUCGAUACUAGCUUUUCUAAUUUAAGAACUCUGCGUCUUUUUUUGACUUUCUCCACCUCUGUACUGUGGUUAGGCUGGAGAGGGUUUUUUGCUGCUGCAACACUCUUAUCAGUUUUCUCCUUACAAGAUGUACACAUUCAUUCAGUUAUCUCUCUUUAUCUCUUAAAACAAACACACAAUAUCACACACCAACUAAAUGGUUCAUGUGACCAGUGAUCAGUGCGUCCUGUCAGGGCUGUAAAUAACCCUGUGAUCAAGGCCUGUAGAGAGAGAGAGAGUGUGUGUGUGUGUGUGUGUGUGUGUGUGUGUCAGUGUCAUUAUCAUGCCAAGCUUGGUGUAAAGCCAGUUUGUCAAACAACUGCAGCAUGUGACUAUGAGCAAGCUUGCUGACAUUAGCGCUCAUAUCAAAGGUAUUCAGUAAUUACAGUCUGCGUUUGUGGAAACCAAGAAAAAAGAUUGAAUGUUUGAGGAUUCAUUUGUUUGUUUUCGGUGUACCAGUUUUCUUUUCUUUUUUUUUUCUCUCCUUCUCUCUUAGAUUGAGAGCACUGUUUUCAAGUCUGUCUGGCUGUGUUUUUGUGUAUGAUGUCUCAUUGAAACUGAGUACUCUACACACUUGUUGUCUGACUAAUUUGUGCCUUUUUUACUCUUCUGUCUCAACCAUUCCCUCUGUCUGUUCCCUACUCCUUUCCUUAUCUUUCAUUGUAGCUUCCUUGAGCAGCCUGUUGAUCACUCCCUUCCCAUCCCCGAGCUCGUCCUUGACCAGCAGCUGUGCAUCCAGUUACCAGCGCCGAUGGCUCCGCAGUCAAACAACCAGCCUAGAAAACGGCGUCUUCCCCCGAUGGUGAGAUGCAUGCAGACAUACAUCUGUUUAAAAAAACAAAACAAAAACAAAACAAAUAUUAAUUAAAAUAAAUAUUCCAGUCAAUAAAAACUGUGUAAAUGAGGAAAGACACAACAGAAAAUAAAGCAGGGCAGUUUUGCAGUAGAAAAACAAACAUAAACCAUUUGCCAGACAUGCAAGCAAGUACACAAAAACAUUAGGGUAUCAGCUGAUGACUUCUCCAUAUUUAAAAAAUUGAGACUUCAUUUGAUUUCACUUCAACAUUUGUAAAGUUAUAAAACACUUAAAGGAAAUGAAAAUGUCCAUCACAGAGUUUAAGGCUCAAAAUUAUGUUUCUGACCAACUUGGAUAUAAUUACAUUCAUUACCACAGAAAAUUCUAGCGAUUAUAAAAACAAACAAAAGAAACAAACUUAAAAGCUAGAAGGAAAAAAAGAUGAUCAGAAAUGGUUUCUGAAUUAAUUAUUUACUAGUAAAUCAUUUGUUUUGUUGAUUUGCCAGCUGAUUGAUAUGGU